AUUCUUAUAGUUUAUAAAAACACUUUAUUUUCAUUAAAGAAAAAUUAAUUAUAUUUUAAUUUAGAAUU
rnacentral:tRNA from 1 species